CGCAGUCGUCCAGUGAACGCCCCAUUUCGCCUGUCAGGGUUGGAGCUAUUGGAGCGGCACUAUGGGUUCCGGAUUGCACCUGCUGCCGGGCGCAUACGCACUUCAUGUAGAUGUACAUGCAAGCGAAGACUUCAAGAAAAUAACGCACGUGAACGCGUGUGUGCGCGCAUCCUGACAGCGCGCGUGAAGUUAUUUACGGCUUAUUUAUGUGAUAAAUGUCACACUGUAACCGCAAACUCAUAGCGCGCAGACGAGAACUGAAACUGCUCCCGGUUUAAAGGACCAUCACGGGCAGCUCCUAAGUCAGGUGCUUUCUGGAUCGUGAUGGAGUUAAGUGCGGGAAAGUCACUCAAGAGUGGCGGAGCCUAAGGUGCACCAUUGAAUUUAAGGUUUCCUCCACACUUCCUCUGUCUUCCAUUAUUUGGACAAACUUCAUGGAAAAUUGAAGGCUGCAUUAAUC